rnacentral:rRNA from 1 species
AAACGAUGCCGAUGUCGUGGUGCCGAAAAAUGGCGACGCGAAAGAGAAAUCGAGUAGGGCCCUGGGGAGAGUACACGCGCAAGCGAGAAAUUUAAAGGAAAUUGACGGAAGAACACCACAAGGAGUGGAGUGUGCGGCUUAAUUUGACUCAACGCGGGACAACUUACCGGGCCCGACGACCGUAAGAGUGUGACACACGAUAGGUCGAAGAGUGGUGCAUGGCCGUUAACGACGAGUGGAGUGAUCUUUGGGUUAAGUCCGUAAAUUAGUGAGACCUCAGCCGUAAGGGACAGGUGCGCAAAGCACAGGAAGGAUGGGUCAAGGACAGGUCAGUGAUGCCCUUAGAUGGUCCGGGCUGCACGCGCACUACAGUGGUCGCCGAAAUUAGCUGAUAAUUUUAAAGGCGAUCGAGAGGGAAUGAGCUUUGUAAGAGGCUCAGGAACGAGGAAUUGCUAGUAAUCGCGGACUCAUUAAGACGCGAUGAAUACGUCCCUGUUCUUUGUACACACCGCCCGUCGUUAUCGAAGAUGAAGACAGGCGCGAACGAUCUACCAGAAAGUGAGCGCAGGUCUUUAGAUCUGAUACAAGUCGUAACAAGGUAGCUGUAGGAGAACCUGUAGCUGG